AUUGAACCACUGCACUCCAGCUUGGGCAAGAGAGUGAGAUCCUGUCUCAGAAAAGAAAAAAUAAUUUUAUAUUCUUAUCUUCCAUCAUGUGGAGUCAAUAACUAAUGCUUCAAACAGACAAAUCAAGAAAUAGUAGUGUAUUGAUUUUAGAAACACGAGAGUAAAUCUUAGGAGGAACAAGUUAAAAGAGUGAAAGGCAUUAACUCUGGAGGCUGAGCUCGGGAAUAAGAAGUGAAGGCAGGAGAUAGCUUUUGUUUAUUAUAAACCUUGUAGUCUUUUGUUUAAUUAUUUAAACCAAGUACAUGAAUGACUUUGAUAAAAAUAACAAGUAAACAAAUGCCUUGGGCUGGGUGUGGUGGCUCAUGCCUGUAAUCCCAGCACUUUGGGAGGCUGAGGCAGGAGGAUCACUUGAGGCCAGGAGUUCAAGACCAGCCUAGGCAACAUAGUGAGACACUGUCUCUACAAAAAUAAAAAUAAGUAAAUAGAAAUUAGCUAGGUACAGUGGUGCAUGCCUGUAGUCACAGCCACUCAGGCGGCUGAGGCAGAAGGAUCACUUGAGCCCAGGAGGUUGAGGUUGCAGUGAGCCAAGAUUGAACAGUUGCACUCCAGCCUGGGUGACAAAGAGAGACCCCAUCUUGAAAAAAAAAAAAAAGCCAGGCGUGGUGAAGAAACUGAGGCACAUAGUGAUUAA
rnacentral:lncRNA from 1 species